GACGAACGCUGGCGGCGUGCUUAACACAUGCAAGUCGAACGCGAAAGCCCCUUCGGGGGCGAGUAGAGUGGCGAACGGGUGAGUAACACGUGGGCAACCUGCCCCAUGGAGCGGGACAACCCGAGGAAACUCGGGCUAAUACCGCAUGAUUCGUCGGCACCCAAGUGCCGGCGGGAAAUGGUAGCUUCGGCCUCCGCCAUGGGAUGGGCCCGCGGCGCAUUAGCUUGUUGGUGAGGUAACGGCUCACCAAGGCGACGAUGCGUAGCUGGCCUGAGAGGACGAUCAGCCACACUGGGACUGGGACACGGCCCAGACUCCUACGGGAGGCAGCAGUGGGGAAUCUUGCGCAAUGGGCGGAAGCCUGACGCAGCAACGCCGCGUGUGGGAAGACGGCCUUCGGGUUGUAAACCACUUUCAGGGGGGACGAAGCUUCCGAGGUUAAUAGCCUACGGGGUGACGGUACCCCCAGAAGAAGCCCCGGCUAACUACGUGCCAGCCGCCGCAGUAAAAC
rnacentral:rRNA from 1 species